rnacentral:rRNA from 1 species
UACGUAGGGCGCAAGCGUUGUCCGGAAUUAUUGGGCGUAAAGAGCUCGUAGGUGGUUUGUUACGUCUGCUGUGAAAACCUAGGGCUUAACCCUGGGCCUGCAGUGGAUACGGGCAGACUAGAGUGCUGUAGGGGAGACUGGAAUUCCUGGUGUAGCGGUGAAAUGCGCAGAUAUCAGGAGGAACACCGGUGGCGAAGGCGGGUCUCUGGGCAGUAACUGACGCUGAGGAGCGAAAGCGUGGGGAGCAAACAGG